AGAGUUUGAUCCUGGCUCAGAACGAACGCUGGCGGCGUGCCUAACACAUGCAAGUCGAGCGCGAAAAUACCUUCGGGUAUGAGUAAAGCGGCGCACGGGUGAGUAACACGUAGGUAAUCUACCUCGGAGUGGGGAAUAACACAGGGAAACUUGUGCUAAUACCGCAUACGUUCGCACUAUUCGUUUAGUGUGAAGAAAGGGGGCUAGCAAUAGCUCUCGCCCCGAGAUGAGCUUGCGUCCCAUUAGCUAGUUGGUAGGGUAAAAGCCUACCAAGGCAACGAUGGGUAACUGGUCUGAGAGGACGACCAGUCACACUGGGACUGAAACACGGCCCAGACUCCUACGGGAGGCAGCAGUGGGGAAUAUUGCGCAAUGGAGGAAACUCUGACGCAGCGACGCCGCGUGAGUGACGAAGGCUUUCGGGUUGUAAAGCUCUGUCAGCAGGGAAGAAAUCGGAUGUGCUAAUACCACAUCCGGAUGACGGUACCUGCAGAGGAAGCACCGGCUAACUCUGUGCCAGCAGCCGCGGUAAUACAGAGGGUGCGAGCGUUGUUCGGAAUUACUGGGCGUAAAGAGCGUGUAGGUGGUCAUGCAAGUCAGAUGUGAAAUCCCCGGGCUUAACCCGGGACGUGCAUUUGAAACUGCAUGGCUAGAGUGUGGUAGAGGAUAUUGGAAUACCCAGUGUAGAGGUGAAAUUCGUAGAUAUUGGGUAGAACACCAGUGGCGAAGGCGGAUAUCUGGGCCAGAACUGACGAUCAGGCACGAAAGCGUGGGGAGCAAACAGGAUUAGAUACCCAGGUAGUCCACGCCAUAAACGAUGACAACUAGACGUUGGGAGGGUAAGCCUCACAGUGUCGCAGCUAACGCGUUAAGUUGUCCGCCUGGGGAGUACGGCCGCAAGGUUGAAACUCAAAGGAAUUGACGG
rnacentral:rRNA from 1 species